UAGUGGCAUAUUUCUAAACUAAAGAAUUAGUAAUGGCAUGGAUCUAAUUAACCCUAAUAAAUAAUGCUAACAAAA
rnacentral:sRNA from 1 species